UUAUGUUGGAGUAAUAAUUUAGGCUAUGUGUCUUCUGAUGUUUUUUAUAUUGAGUUGUGAGGUUUGAUUUGGUAUAUUAUUUGGUCGAUUUGGAUAACUCUACAAAUUGUUAUGAUUUUUCAAAUAAACUGUGACAGCAAACAAGUUUGUCCAAAACAAUUCUGGCAGUUUUCUGUAUUCAACUUUUCGGGCUGUUAUUGCUGUGUUAUCUUAGUAAUUGGGGGUUGGUAUCUUCAUCACAAUUGUAGAUAAAGUUGUGAAAUUUUAUUUGGUAUAUUGUUUUCCCAAUUUGGAUAAGCGUACGGCCUGCUACGAUUUUUGGACGAAAAUGUGACAACAAAUAACGUUGGUUUCUAGUUUAAUGUCCAUAGUUAGCAUCUAUAUGUGUCAUUAGUUAUUUGAGUCAUUAUUUAUUUGAAAUUUGUCUUAUGCACAUUGAGCAACAAGUUUAAAGUAAUGUGAUUGAAUGUGAAUCUUAAGAAACUAAUGGAUUCUUAUUUCAGGUGUGUCAUUCGUGGUUGUGUACCUAAGAAAAUUUUGGUCUAUGAUGUUGCUUUUGGUGCUAACUCGAGCUAUGUUGGCGAAAUUCUGAGAAAUAGUAAACCUUCUGCCGCACCUGUUUUCGGAGCCGAAAUCGAAGGGUUUGGAGUGAGCUUUUCGAAUCAAUCUCUUCACAAAACUCGUCGAGGACCGUGAUAAUUAUAUGUUGGACUGUUUGAUGAAGUGAAAGAACGUUAUCGUGGAAGUCAUAUUUGUUGUCGCUUAACAAUUUAUGAAGUGGAAUUUAUUAUGAAAUAAUUAUAGUCAUCUUUCUUAUUAUUUGGAAUGAUUGAUUUAUUAUUGUAUUUAGUAUGAUAGAUUGAAAUUAUAAUAUUCACAUUUGAUUGAUAAUAUGUAAAUUUGCAAUCUUUAGUUUUAUUUUAA